AGUGAUUUGACAAUUCUAUACUUCACAAAAUUUUUACCGUGGCAUUUCUCUUGUCUACCAGUAGACCACUGUGAAGGGAUGAAAUACGAAAACGGAGGAAGGAAGCUACCCUGCUGACUUUCUGAUACAUCUACUUCGUCAUCAAAGCACUGAGAGACUCAAGACAUCUUGCAUUUCCUGUGGUGACCUGGCCUCCCAAUAUAGGCAUGCAAAUAAAUACACAUGCAUGG